rnacentral:misc_RNA from 1 species
AGGGGGGGGUCGUUAUGUUUGCAAAUGAUGAAAGGAAAUUCUGGUAACGAGGAUGUGGCUCUUAUUAGCAACUGUAGUGUGGUCUAUGCCACCCAAAAACCAUAUAGGAAGCACAAGCACAUAAAUAUGUUGAUUUAUAUAUGGGGCAUAUAUAUUCCAGCCAAGGGACUUUUGUCCAAUUCGUCAUUUCUAUGUAAAAAGCUUGGUUUGAUCAAACUCUGAAAUCGUUGAAAUCAGAUUGCGAGGAACUUUGAUUAGUCAACAUCAGAUUCGACAGGCAUGGCACCUUCUGACCCAUCUUCAUAUGGUGGCAACGUACUCCACUUGCCAGCAGGAUUUAGAGGCUCAAAUACAAUCACCCCACCAUUUGAUAGCCCCACUGCAAAUUGGUUUGGUUUCUGUGGAUGUGCAGCAAUAACUAGCGGAUAACCAUCAUCACAUGAACUAAAUGGAAGGUAAGCAGUGGA